rnacentral:rRNA from 1 species
AAGUGUAAGGGUUCAGGUAGGUGAACCUGCGGCAAGGAUCAUUA